rnacentral:rRNA from 1 species
CGAACGCUGGCGGCGUGCUUAACACAUGCAAGUCGAACGAAGAGCGACGGAAGCUUGCUUCUAUCAAUCUUAGUGGCGAACGGGUGAGUAACGCGUAAUCAACCUGCCCUUCAGAGGGGGACAACAGUUGGAAACGACUGCUAAUACCGCAUACGAUCUAACCUCGGCAUCGAGGAUAGAUGAAAGGUGGCCUCUACAUGUAAGCUAUCACUGAAGGAGGGGAUUGCGUCUGAUUAGCUAGUUGGAGGGGUAACGGCCCACCAAGGCGAUGAUCAGUAGCCGGUCUGAGAGGAUGAACGGCCACAUUGGGACUGAGACACGGCCCAGACUCCUACGGGAGGCAGCAGUGGGGAAUCUUCCGCAAUGGACGAAAGUCUGACGGAGCAACGCCGCGUGAGUGAUGACGGCCUUCGGGUUGUAAAGCUCUGUUAAUCGGGACGAAAGGCCUUCUUGCGAAUAGUGAGAAGGAUUGACGGUACCGGAAUAGAAAGCCACGGCUAGCUACGUG